UAUGUGCAGAUCUGAGAUACCUGGUCCUGGCAUCCCAUCUUAGGAGGAGGAGGGAGAGAGAAGUGAGAAAGUUUGGCAAUGUUGCAAGUCGUCUCGACGGAUGCUUCUUCACCUGCCCUCAUCUGAUUUUACUAAGCAAAAGUUAUGUACAAUUAAAUUGUACAACACUUGAUUAUACAACACUUGAUAGCUGUCUGCCUAAGAGAAAGGAGGAGGACUUUAUGUUAACAACAUUGCUAGUCCCGUUAGACAUAGGAAAACCAUCGAAAAUGGUCAUGCAGCCAGACACUCCACGGGGAUUUGAACCUUGAUCAAACUACCAACUUGAGACGUUUUAUCUGCUUUCCCUGAAUGAAGCACCUUCGUUGAGAAAAAACACCUUAAAACAAAAACAACUCAUAUUUACGUUACAGAAAGCUGAAACCAUGCCCAAGUUUCUAUCAAAAAUUAUACAGUAUAAAAAUAGCCUAUUUUCUAAAUUUUCAUUUGCUAUGGAUUAAAUAAAUUACUUAAUAAGCAGCGACCCUUCAUCCAAACAUGAGAAAUAAAGGAAAAGUGAAACAUGAAAGUUGUUAUCAAAUUGAAACAAAUAAAUAUUAUUAAUUUCGAGUAAAAAUAAGAACCUCA